GGAUGCCCUAGUAACGGCGAGUGAAGCGGCAACAGCUCAAAUUUGAAAUCUGGCACCAGCCCGAGUGAAUUUGUAGAGGAUGCUUCUGGGCAGCGGCCGUUCUAAGUUCCUUGGAACAGGACGUCAUAGAGGGUGAGAAUCCCGUAUGUGACCGGCACGUACCCUCCACGUAGCUCCUUCGACGAGUCGAGUUGUUUGGGAAGGGAGCUCUAAAUGGGAGGUAAAUUUCUUCUAAAGCUAAAUACCGGCCAGAGACCGAUAGCGCACAAGUAGAGUGAUCGAAAGAUGAAAAGCACUUUGGAAAGAGAGUUAAAAAGCACGUGAAAUUGUUGAAAGGGAAGCGCUUACAACCAGACUUCGUGGCGGUGUUCCGCCGGUCUUCUGACCGGUCCACUCGCCGCCGCGAGGCCAGCAUCGUCUGGGGCCGCCGGAUAAGACCUUGGGAAUGUAGCUCGCCUCGGUGAGUAUUAUAGCCCAGGGUGAUACGGCGCGCCCCGGGCGAGGUCCGCGCUUCGGCAAGGAUGCUGGCGUAAUGGUUGUCAGCGGCCCGUCUUGAAACACGGACCAAGGAGUCUAACAUCUAUGCGAGUGUUCGGGUGUCAAACCCCUACGCGUAAUGAAAGUGAACGGAGGUGGGAAGCGCAAGCUGCACCAUCGACCGAUCCUGAUGUCCUCGGAUGGAUUUGAGUAAGAGCAUAGCUGUUGGGACCCGAAAGAUGGUGAACUAUGCCUGAAUAGGGUGAAGCCAGAGGAAACACUGGUGGAGGCUCGCAGCGGUUCUGACGUGCAAAUCGAUCGUCAAAUUUGGGUAUAGGGGCGAAAGACUAAUCGAC
rnacentral:rRNA from 1 species